UACGUAGGGUGCGAGCGUUGUCCGGAAUUAUUGGGCGUAAAGGGCUCGUAGGCGGUUUGUCGCGUCGGGAGUGAAAACCUCGGGCUUAACUCGGGGCUUGCUUUCGAUACGGGCAGACUAGAGGUAUGCAGGGGAGAACGGAAUUCCUGGUGUAGCGGUGAAAUGCGCAGAUAUCAGGAGGAACACCGGUGGCGAAGGCGGGUCUCUGGGCCGUAACUGACGCUGAGGAGCGAAAGCGUGGGGAGCAAACAGG
rnacentral:rRNA from 1 species